rnacentral:rRNA from 1 species
GAACGAGGAUAUAUCCUUCGGGAUAUAAGCCGAGUGGCACAAGGGUGAGCAAUGCAUAGAUUACCUACCUUUAGGAUAAGGGCAACUUUGUGAAAACGGAGCUAAUACUUAAUAAUACAAAAGAAAAUAAUUUUCUUUUGUCAAAGGGAGGGUAGCAAUACCUUUCGCCUAGAGAGGGGUUUAUGUCCUAUCAGCUUGUUGGUGGGGUAAUAGCCCACCAAGGCGAAGACGGGUAGCCGGUUUAAGAGGAUGGUCGGCCACACUGGGACUGAGACACUGCCCAGACUUCUACGGAAGGCUGCAGUCGAGAAUCUUUCGCAAUGCCCGAAAGGGUGACGAAGCGACGCCGCGUGGGUGAAGAAGGCCUUCGGGUUGUAAAGCCCUGUCAGGAGUUAUGAAAUGUAAGUGCGCUAAUAUCGUGCUUAUUUGACAAAGGCUCCAAAGGAAGCCACGGCUAACUCUGUGCCAGCAGCCGCGGUAAUACAGAGGUGGCGAGCGUUGUUCGGAAUUAUUGGGCGUAAAGAGCACGUAGGUGGGUUUGCAAGUCAGAUGUGAAAGCCUUCUGUUCAACGGAAGAAUUGCAUCUGAAACUGCUAAUCUUGAGUAUAGGAGGGGAGAAUGGAACUUCUGGUGGAGCGGUGAAAUGCGUAGAUAUCAGAAGGAACGCCGGCGGCGAAAGCGAUUCUCUGGCCUAUUACUGACACUCAGUGUGCGAAAGCUAGGGGAGCAAACGGGAUUAGAUACCCCGGUAGUCCUAGCCGUAAACGAUGGGCACUAAGUAGAGGGAAUUACCUAUAUUCUCUCUGCCGUAGCUAACGCAUUAAGUGCCCCGCCUGGGGAGUACGGCCGCAAGGCUAAAACUCAAAAGAAUUGACGGGGGCUCGCACAAGCGGUGGAGCAUGUGGCUUAAUUCGAUGCAACGCGAAAAACCUUACCGGGGCUUGACAUGAUAGAAGUAGGAACCUGAAAGGGGGACGAACGGUAUCCAGUCCGUAGCUAUCACAGGUGUUGCAUGGCUGUCGUCAGCUCGUGUCGUGAGACGUUGGGUUAAGUCCCCUAACGAGCGAAACCCUUGUUUUUAGUUACCAGCGGGUUAUGCCGGGUACUCUAGAAAGACUGCCGUCGUCAAGACGGAGGAAGGUGGGGAUGACGUCAAGUCAUCAUGGCCCUUAUGCCCCGGGCUGCACACGUGCUACAAUGGUCGGUACAGACGGAAGCGAAGCCGAGAGGUGAAGCGAAUCCUAAAAAGCCGAUCUCAGUUCGGAUUGGAGGCUGAAAUUCGCCUCCAUGAAGUUGGAAUCGCUAGUAAUCGCGGAUCAGCAAUGUCGCGGUGAAUAUGUUCCCGAGCCUUGUACACACCGCCCGUCAAGCCACCCAAGCAGGAUGCACCCGAAAACAUUAUAUCUAACCAGGGCAACUUGGAGGAAAAUGUUGAAGGAGUGUUUUGUGA